rnacentral:rRNA from 1 species
AUUGAACGCUGGCGGCAUGCCUUACACAUGCAAGUCGAACGGCAGCACGGGAGCAAUCCUGGUGGCGAGUGGCGAACGGGUGAGUAAUAUAUCGGAACGUGCCCGGUCGUGGGGAUAACGUAGCGAAAGCUACGCUAAUACCGCAUACGAUCUACGGAUGAAAGCGGGGGAUCGCAAGACCUCGCGCGAUUGGAGCGGCCGAUAUCAGAUUAGGUAGUUGGUGAGGUAAAGGCUCACCAAGCCGACGAUCUGUAGCUGGUCUGAGAGGACGACCAGCCACACUGGGACUGAGACACGGCCCAGACUCCUACGGGAGGCAGCAGUGGGGAAUUUGGACAAUGGGCGCAAGCCUGAUCCAGCAAUGCCGCGUGCAGGAUGAAGGCCUCGGUU